rnacentral:rRNA from 1 species
GAGAACUGAAAGGCUUUUUGAAGUCUUCGGAUGGAUAGAAGAACCCCUGAUGCCGUCGAGCCAAGAAAAGUUUCUAAGUUUAGCUAAUGUUGCCCGUACCGUAAACCGACACAGGUGGGUGGGAUGAGUAUUCUAAGGCGCGUGGAAGAACUCUCUUUAAGGAACUCUGCAAAAUAGCACCGUAUCUUCGGUAUAAGGUGUGGUUAGCUUUGUAUUAGGAUUUACUCCGAAAGCAAGGAAACUUACAACAAAGAGUCCCUCCCGACUGUUUACCAAAAACACAGCACUCUGCUAACUCGUAAGAGGAUGUAUAGGGUGUGACGCCUGCCCGGUGCUCGAAGGUUAAUUGAUGGGGUUAGCAUUAGCGAAGCUCUUGAUCGAAGCCCGAGUAAACGGCGGCCGUAACUAUAACGGUCCUAAGGUAGCGAAAUUCCUUGUCGGUUAAAUACCGACCUGCAUGAAUGGCGUAACGAGAUGGGAGCUGUCUCAAAGAGGGAUCCAGUGAAAUUGUAGUGGAGGUGAAAAUUCCUCCUACCCGCGGCAAGACGGAAAGACCCCGUGGACCUUUACUACAGCUUGACACUGCUACUUGGAUAAGAAUGUGCAGGAUAGGUGGGAGGCUUUGAGUAUAUGACGCCAGUUGUAUAUGAGCCAUUGUUGAGAUACCACUCUUUCUUAUUUGGGUAGCUAACCA